rnacentral:misc_RNA from 1 species
AAUCUCUGAUGAAUAAGGUGUUUCAGUCUGCCUUAAGGAAGUUUGUGUUAGUAUUCUUUGAUGAUAUUUUGGUAUUUAGCUCUUAUUGGCAUGAUCAUCUCAAACACUUAGAGGCAGUGUUACAAAUAUUACAACAACAUCAAUUGUAUGCCAGAUUGUCAAAAUGUUCUUUUGGAGCUUCAGAGGUUGAUUACUUGGGACA